rnacentral:sRNA from 1 species
AACCUCACUUGUAUGCAGUAAUCAUUAACUCUCAGGUAGGUCUCCUGUGUAGACAUUUUCAUUGAUAUUUGUGUCUUUUUCCCCCUUGGCUCUGUAAUUCUUACUCAUUACAGAGUACCUCUCACUACCUCUUCUGGGCCUUUUUUUUUUUUUGCGUCUACUUUCAAUUUUUGUGUUUUCAGAUAUUCUAAAACACAUUAAAAAAUAACCAGUUUUCUUGUGUUCUUCUGAUGUGUUCUUCUGAUUAUUGUUGCCCUACUUUUCCUUUUGUAGAUGGACAAGGCGUGAACAAACAGAUUUUUAUCGAGUGGUGUCUACGUUUGGUGUGGAAUAUGACCCUGACACGAUGCAGUUCCAUUGGGAUCGCUUCCGCACUUUUGCUCGACUAGACAAAAAGACAGAUGAAAGCCUUACCAAGUACUUCCAUGGCUUUGUGGCCAUGUGCCGCCAAGUAUGCCGCCUUCCCCCAGCAGCUGGAGAUGAACCCCCAGACCCUAAUCUCUUCAUUGAGCCCAUCACUGAGGAGAGAGCCUCACGGACUCUCUACCGUAUAGAAUUGCUUCGGCGCU